UUUGUGUUACACUUGUUCUUUAUACGUGUGGCUACGCCUGGUUGGUGGGUUAAAUAUGAUCAUUUAAAUGAGAAAAUGUAUACUAGUGCAACUUGUAAUCUGGGUGUUAUAACAUCACAACCACAUCUAUGGUCAACUCUAAGAUCACCUUAUUUUGUUUGGCAGUGUUUUGGAAUCAAGUUAUGGCAAUAUUUUGUGUAUAAAAUAUAACAAUUACAUUUAAAAAGUGCUUAUUUCUGACAAAAA
rnacentral:lncRNA from 1 species